AGUGAACGCUGGCGGCGUGCCUAACACAUGCAAGUCGAACGAUGAUGGAGGAGCUUGCUCUUCCUGAUUAGUGGCGCACGGGUGAGUAACGCAUAGGUAAUGUGCCCCUUAGUCUGGGAUAGCCACUGGAAACGGUGAUUAAUACUAGAUACUCCUUCUCAUUAUAAGAUGAGUCGGGAAAGUUUUUCGCUAAGGGAUCAGCCUAUGUCCUAUCAGGUAGUUGGUGAGGUAACGGCUCACCAAGCCAAUGACGGGUAUCUGGUUUGAGAGGAUGAUCAGACACACUGGAACUGAGACACGGUCCAGACUCCUACGGGAGGCAGCAGUGAGGAAUAUUGCACAAUGGAGGAAACUCUGAUGCAGCAACGCCGCGUGGAGGAUGACGCAUUUCGGUGUGUAUACUCCUUUUAAGAGGGAAGAUUAUGACGGUACCUCUUGAAUAAGCACCGGCUAACUCCGUGCCAGCAGCCGCGGUAA
rnacentral:rRNA from 1 species